rnacentral:tRNA from 1 species
GGGGUUGUGGCUCAGUGGUUGAGUGCUUGCCUUGCAUGUAUGAGGCACUGGGUUUGAUCCUCAGAACCACA